UACAGAGGGGGCAAGCGUUGUUCGGAAUCACUGGGCGUAAAGCGCACGUAGGCGGAUCCUUAAGUCGGGGGUGAAAUCCUGGAGCUCAACUCCAGAACUGCCUUCGAUACUGAGGAUCUCGAGUCCGGGAGAGGUGAGUGGAACUGCGAGUGUAGAGGUGAAAUUCGUAGAUAUUCGCAAGAACACCAGUGGCGAAGGCGGCUCACUGGCCCGGUACUGACGCUGAGGUGCGAAAGCGUGGGGAGCAAACAGG
rnacentral:rRNA from 1 species